rnacentral:rRNA from 1 species
GGCAUCUUCUUGUUUUUAAAAGACCUAGCAAUAGGUAUGCUUAGGGAGGAGCUUGCGUCACAUUAGUUAGUUGGUGGGGUAAAGGCCUACCAAGACUAUGAUGUGUAGCCGGGCUGAGAGGUUGAACGGCCACAUUGGGACUGAGACACGGCCCAAACUCCUACGGGAGGCAGCAGUAGGGAAUUUUCGGCAAUGGAGGAAACUCUGACCGAGCAACGCCGCGUGAACGAUGAAGUAUUUCGGUACGUAAAGUUCUUUUAUUAGGGAAGAAUAAAUGAUGGAAAAAUCAUUCUGACGGUACCUAAUGAAUAAGCCCCGGCUAACUAUGUGCCAGCAGCCGCGGUAAUACAUAGGGGGCAAGCGUUAUCCGGAAUUAUUGGGCGUAAAGGGUGCGUAGGCGGUUAAAUAAGUUUAUGGUCUAAGUGCAAUGCUCAACAUUGUGAUGCUAUAAAAACUGUUUAGCUAGAGUAAGAUAGAGGCAAGUGGAAUUCCAUGUGUAGUGGUACAAUGCGUAAAUAUAUGGAGGAACACCAGUAGCGAAGGCGGCUUGCUGGGUCUUUACUGACGCUGAGGCACGAAAGCGUGGGGAGCAAACAGGAUUAGAUACCCUGGUAGUCCACGCCGUAAACGAUGAGUACUAAACGUUGGGUAAAACCAGUGUUGAAGUUAACACAUUAAGUACUCCGCCUGAGUAGUACGUACGCAAGUAUGAAACUUAAAGGAAUUGACGGGACUCCGCACAAGCGGUGGAUCAUGUUGUUUAAUUCGAAGGUACCCGAAAAACCUCACCAGGUCUUGACAUGCUUCUGCAAAGCUGUAGAAACACAGUGGAGGUUAUCAGUUGCACAGGUGGUGCAUGGUUGUCGUCAGCUCGUGUCGUGAGAUGUUGGGUUAAGUCCCGCAACGAGCGCAACCCUUAUUGUUAGUUACCAGCACGUAAUGGUGGGGACUUUAGCAAGACUGCCAGUGAUAAAUUGGAGGAAGGUGGGGACGACGUCAAAUCAUCAUGCCCCUUAUGACCUGGGCUACAAACGUGAUACAAUGGCUGUUACAAAGGGUAGCUGAAGCGCAAGUUUUUGGCGAAUCUCAAAAAAACAGUCUCAGUUCGGAUUGAAGUCUGCAACUCGACUUCAUGAAGUUGGAAUCGCUAGUAAUCGCGAAUCAGCAUGUCGCGGUGAAU